rnacentral:rRNA from 1 species
AUAUUAAAGUUGUUGCAGUUAAAAAGCUCGUAGUUGAAUUUCGGGGUUAGCAGGUUGGUCAUGCCUCUGGUAUGUACUGGUCUCACUGAUUCCUCCUUCCUUAUGAACCGUAAUGCCAUUAAUUUGGUGUUGCGGGGAAUUUGGACUGUUACUUUGAAAAAAUUAGAGUGUUUAAAGCAAGCUAACGCUUGAAUACAUUAGCAUGGAAUAAUGAAAUAGGACGUUCGAUCUUAUUUUGUUGGUUUCUAGGAUUGACGUAAUGAUUAAUAGGGAUAGUUGGGGGCAUUAGUAUUCAAUUGUCAGAGGUGAAAUUCUUGGAUUUAUUGAAGACUAACUACUGCGAAAGCAUUUGCCAAGGAUGUUUUCAUUAAUCAAGAACGAAAGUUAGGGGAUCGAAGACGAUCAGAUACCGUCGUAGUCUUAACCAUAAACUAUGCCGACUAGGGAUCGGAUGAUGUUAAUUUUUUAAUGACUCAUUC